GCCUCCCAGAGGGUGGCAUUGAAGGAGGCGGCGGUGGAGAUCACCUGAGGAAAGCUAGUCGCCCCCGGAAACGCCCCGCCAAAGUGAACUCCGGGCCCAGUGUUCGACACCCCGUGUAGAGCCUCCGACCACCACUCAUACCCAGAGAUCCCCAGCCUCGGCACGCCGGCAGCAUUGUUCACCAGCAACCUCACCUUCUCGUCCAACGUCAGCCGACCAACCAAGUCCCGCGCUCGAAUAUGAAUAGGAACCGUUGUCCGACAG
rnacentral:misc_RNA from 1 species